UACGUAGGGUGCGAGCGUUAAUCGGAAUUACUGGGCGUAAAGCGUGCGCAGGCGGUUUGUUAAGACAGGCGUGAAAUCCCCGGGCUCAACCUGGGAACUGCGCUUGUGACUGGCAAGCUAGAGUAUGGAAGAGGGGGGUGGAAUUCCACGUGUAGCAGUGAAAUGCGUAGAGAUGUGGAGGAACACCGAUGGCGAAGGCAGCCCCCUGGGCCAAUACUGACGCUCAUGCACGAAAGCGUGGGGAGCAAACAGGAUUAGAUACCCUGGUAGUCCACGCCCUAAACGAUGUCAACUAGGUGUUGGGUGGGUAAAACCAUUUAGUACCGGAGCUAACGCGUGAAGUUGACCGCCUGGGGAGUACGGCCGCAAGGUUA
rnacentral:rRNA from 1 species